rnacentral:ncRNA from 1 species
GAACAGAUAGGUUGGGUCGUGCCCUUUUUAUUAGCUCUUAGUAAGAUUACACAAGCAAGCUUCCCUGCCACAGUGAAAAUCCCCUCUAGAUCACCAGAUCAAAAGGAGCAGGUAUCAAGCAUGCACGAAUGCAGCUCAAAACACUUUGCUUAACCACACCGCCCCCGGAAACAGCAGUGAUAAAUCUUUAGUAAUAAAUGAAAGUUUGGCUAAGCUACACUAAUGUUAAGGGUUGGUUAAUUUUGUGCCAGCCACCGCAGUCAUACGAUUAACCCGAGCUAACAGGACUCGGCAUAAAGAGUGUUUAAGGUCUACCCUCAAUAAAGCUAAACCCCGUCUAAGUUGUAAAAAACUCCAGCUGAAAUAAAAUAUACUAUGAAAGUGGCUCUAAUAUCCUGAAGACACAAUAGCUAAGAUGCAAACAUUAGUUACCCCACUAUGCCUAGCCCUAAACUCUACAUUAACAAAAACAUUCGCCAGAGUACUACAACAGCUUAAAAUUCAAAGAACUUGGCGGUACUUUAUAUCCCUCUAGAGGAGCCUGUUCUAUAAUUGAUAAACCCCAAUACACCUCACCACCUGUUGCCCCUAGCCUUAUACCGCUAUCUUCAGCAAACCCUUGAAAGGCUAUAAAGUAAGCACACGUAUGCACAUAAAAAUGUUAGGUCACAGUGUAGCCCAUAAGAUGGCAAAGAAAUGGGCUACAUUUUCUAUGUCCCGAAAAAUCUCAUGACUGAAGCUCCAAUGUGGUGGAAUUCGGGAGGAUUUAGCCAUAAACCAAGAGCAGAGCACUUGGUUAAAUAAGGCACUGAAGUACGCACACACCGCCCAUCACCCUCCUCAAAUAUUACUCUAGAAAUCACUAUUACUAAUAACUUUCUACAUGCAUACAGAAGAGAUAAGUUGUAACAUGGUAAGUGUACUGGAAAGUGCGCUUGGACAAACCAAAAU